CGAUAUUCCAUCUCUCAUGCGGAGUCACAGUUGGCCAGUGAAUAUUAGUUUACUUUUACUUGCUGCGUACUCACUGGUGGAGAAUGAGCAAGGCUUGGGUUGAGGAGAUGUAGGCAGAGGGGAACAUAAAGGCAAAGGGGGUGGAGAAUCUAUAAACCAGACAGACAGGCCUUAACUAUGCUGUGUUGUGCUCAUUUCCUGGCCCUGCUGAAUCAUCCCACCGCCACACAGGAGACAUUGGAAGCCUAUUACCACCAGGAAAUUAAAAACUUCAGCGUGUUUUCAUUGCAAUGAGGAGUCAAAGACUGCACAAGGAUUCUAGCCAACACCUUCUCAUGGGAUGCCCAAGACAAGUAAUUCUGUUGCUCUCAUCCUCAGCCUUCUUAUCUAAAAAAGAGGGUAACAUCUGUCCUGCUUACUUCACAAGGUUGUUAUUAUGAGGAUAAUUAAACUGAACUCAAGUAAACAAAUAUUUAGUGGGCACCUACUACCCUUCAUGGAAUUUAUGGACCAGCAUAGGAGGAAAGUAGAUACAGUUCACAAUAGAAAGUAUCACAUUGGCCAAGUGCGGUGGCUCACACCUGUAAUCCCAACACUUUGGGAGGCUGAGGUGGAUGCAUCACUUGAAGUCAGGAGUCCAAGACCAGCCUGGCCAACAUGGUGAAACCCUGUUUCUACUAAAAAUACAAAAAUUAGCCAGGCAUGGUGGUGUGCACCUGUAUUCCCAGCUACUCAGGAGGCUGAGGCAACAGAAUCCCUUGAACGUGGGAGGCGGAGUUGCAGUGACCCGAGAUCACGCCAUUGCACUGCAGCCUGGGUGACAGAGUGAGACUCUGUCUCAAAAAAUAGAAAGUUUCACAUCAUCUAGGUGACAGGGAAGCAGAGUGAUCCAGACACAAGUAAAGGGAACGUGAAUUCUGGCUGGUGCCAUCGGGGAAGGGAUCAUGGAAGUGGAAGCAUCUGAGUAAGACCUUGAAGGAGGAUUCUUUAGAAGGGGAGCUUUCCAAACAGAGGGACAACAAGAGCCAAGCGCAGAGACAGGACACCAUGAGAACUCAGUGGAAGUCUAUGAACUGUAAAGCACUCUUCACUUACAAAAUACUGCUUGUUACCUCUACUGGAGCCACCACUCACUCUUCCCAACAGCCAUGGCCCUACUAGGUAAUAAGAUAACAGUGAUUCAGAGCUAAGGCCGGCCUACCUGCAUACAGAAUUUGGGAGUAGGCAAGACUGACUUCAUGGCAUCUCCUGUCUCAAAGGAGGUGAUGGAACAUCGCAAGUCCAGCUCGGAGGAAUGAACAUCAACCAAAGAUUAGCAGUUCAAUACUCUUUCCAUCUCCCAACUUCUUUUCCAACUCCCCCUCAGUUAGCUCCUUUCUGUGCAUUACCACCGCAACUCUCUUCCCUUUAAAGAAUCAAGGAUAGCCCUUGAUUUUUAUUACAGCCAACCAGGGAUCAAAAUCCUGGUUAUGUAGAUUUCUAGCUAUUUGAUAAGAAGCAGCUUUGUUUAAUCUAUAUAAGACUUAAACUUUACAUAUGUAACCUGGGAAUGAAAAUAAGAGCAGUCACUUCAUAGAAUUGCUGAGAAGAUUAAGUAAGAUAGUGUACCUGGUAUAUAGCACUCAAAAUGUUAUUUAUGAUUAUCAUCUAGAGCAGGGGUUGCCAAACUAUGGCUCAUGGGCCAAAUCCAGCCACGUCCAUUCAUUUCUGUAUUGCCUAAGUAGUUUUCUGCUGCAAUGGUAGAAUCAAAGACUUGUGACAUAGGUGGUGUGACCCGCAAAGCUGAAAUACUUAAUAUCAGGCCCUCUUGUAGAAAAAGUUUGCUAACCUCUGAUCUAAAGAGAGAAGAAGAGAAACCUGCUUAUGUUACAUUUACAACCAGUUACAGGGUUUUGUCCUCAGGCUUACCCGUGACUUUAUCUCCUUUCUGUUGGUUAUUGGUAUCUUAUGAUACAUGGUAUGUACCCUUCAGUAAUGGAGAAGUCCUCACAUAGAUCUUCACAUCUGAGUACCAUGGAGAACACUGAAGUCUCCUUCUAUAUUCCCAGAGUCUAGUAUUAAUAGAUAAGGACACAUAGCAAAUGACGGAUGACAAAUUCUGGCUCUGAUUAGCGAGACCAUAGUCUCAAAUGGCAACUGCAGAGUACUCCUAAGAUGAAAGGGAAUUUAACAUGUUAUGAGGCGGUGAAACAACUGUGACUCAGUCACUGAGCAGAAGGAAGCAACAAUAUGGAAAAGUAGGCAAACCAUGGUGAACUGUUUGAAAUUCCUGCUAACCUCCCACUGUGCCCCUUAAAUUAAGGGCCCAGUAGAGCCUACUUCAAUUCCAUUUAAAUAUCUUUCUUUUCUGCCAGGUACUGUGGCCCACACCUGUAAUCCCAACAAUGUGGGAGGCUGAGGUGGGAGGAUUGAUUGAGGCCAGGAAUAUUGAGACCCCAUCUCCACAAAAAAAUAAAAAAUAAAAUAAAACUUUCACUUCAAGAUUUCUAGCAUUAUUGCUAUUAUGAGAUGUACAGAAACCUAGGUAGAUUGGGACUGUGCAUCCAGACAGUAUUUCUAGAAUUUUAUUAUUUGUACAUUGGGGAAAACACUGGGCUUGUGUUUAAGAAAUAUUGUCAUAUUCUAGAUGGGACUGUAGAGGCAUUUCACCUCACCUCUCUGGGCCUCCAUUUCCU
rnacentral:lncRNA from 10 species